ensembl:snRNA U6 U6 spliceosomal RNA
UUGCUUUGGCAGCACAUAUACUAAAAUUGGAACUAUACAGAGAAGAUUAUCAUGGCCCCUGCACAAGGAUGACACACAAAUUCGUGAAGCAUUCCAUAUUUUU